rnacentral:rRNA from 1 species
CGGAGAGUUUGAUCCUGGCUCAGGAUGAACGCUGGCGGCGUGCCUAAUACAUGCAAGUCGAACGCUUUGUGGUUCAACUGAUUUGAAGAGCUUGCUCAGAUAUGACGAUGAACAUUGCAAAGAGUGGCGAACGGGUGAGUAACACGUGGGAAACCUACCUCUUAGCAGGGGAUAACAUUUGGAAACAGAUGCUAAUACCGUAUAACAAUAGCAACCGCAUGGUUGCUACUUAAAAGAUGGUUCUGCUAUCACUAAGAGAUGGUCCCGCGGUGCAUUAGUUAGUUGGUGAGGUAAUGGCUCACCAAGACGAUGAUGCAUAGCCGAGUUGAGAGACUGAUCGGCCACAAUGGGACUGAGACACGGCCCAUACUCCUACGGGAGGCAGCAGUAGGGAAUCUUCCACAAUGGGCGAAAGCCUGAUGGAGCAACGCCGCGUGUGUGAUGAAGGGUUUCGGCUCGUAAAACACUGUUGUAAGAGAAGAAUGACAUUGAGAGUAACUGUUCAAUGUGUGACGGUAUUUAACCAGAAAGCCACGGCUAACUACGUGCCAGCAGCCGCGGUAAUACGUAGGUGGCAAGCGUUGUCCGGAUUUAUUGGGCGUAAAGCGAGCGCAGGCGGUUUUUUAAGUCUGAAGUGAAAGCCCUCAGCUCAACUGAGGAAUUGCUUUGGAAACUGGAUGACUUGAGUGCAGUAGAGGAAAGUGGAACUCCAUGUGUAGCGGUGAAAUGCGUAGAUAUAUGGAAGAACACCAGUGGCGAAGGCGGCUUUCUGGACUGUAACUGACGUUGAGGCUCGAAAGUGUGGGUAGCAAACAGGAUUAGAUACCCUGGUAGUCCACACCGUAAACGAUGAGUGCUA